rnacentral:rRNA from 1 species
GACGAACGCUGGUGGCGUGCUUAACACAUGCAAGUCGAACGGAAAGGCCCUGCUUUUGUGGGGUGCUCGAGUGGCGAACGGGUGAGUAACACGUGAGUAACCUGCCCUUGACUUUGGGAUAACUUCAGGAAACUGGGGCUAAUACCGGAUAGGAGCUCCUGCUGCAUGGUGGGGGUUGGAAAGUUUCGGCGGUUGGGGAUGGACUCGCGGCUUAUCAGCUUGUUGGUGGGGUAGUGGCUUACCAAGGCUUUGACGGGUAGCCGGCCUGAGAGGGUGACCGGCCACAUUGGGACUGAGAUACGGCCCAGACUCCUACGGGAGGCAGCAGUGGGGAAUAUUGCACAAUGGGCGGAAGCCUGAGGCAGAAACGCCGCGGGCGGGAUGACGGCCUUCGGGUUGUAAACCGCUUUCGCCUGUGACGAAGCGUGAGUGACGGUAAUGGGUAAAGAAGCACCGGCUAACUACGUG